UACGUAGGGCGCAAGCGUUGUCCGGAAUCAUUGGGCGUAAAGAGCUCGUAGGUGGUCUGUUACGUCUGCUGUGAAAUCCUAGGGCUUAACCCUGGGCCUGCAGUGGAUACGGGCAGACUAGAGGUAGGUAGGGGGAGAAUGGAAUUCCCGGUGUAGCGGUGAAAUGCGCAGAUAUCGGGAGGAACACCGGUGGCGAAGGCGGUUCUCUGGGCCUUACCUGACGACUGAGGAGCGAAAGCGUGGGGAGCGAACAGG
rnacentral:rRNA from 1 species